rnacentral:rRNA from 1 species
UACGAAGGGGGCUAGCGUUGCUCGGAAUCACUGGGCGUAAAGGGCGCGUAGGCGGCGUUUUAAGUCGGGGGUGAAAGCCUGUGGCUCAACCACAGAAUGGCCUUCGAUACUGGGACGCUUGAGUAUGGUAGAGGUUGGUGGAACUGCGAGUGUAGAGGUGAAAUUCGUAGAUAUUCGCAAGAACACCGGUGGCGAAGGCGGUGAGCUGGGCAGUUGCUGACACUGAGGCGCGACAGCGUGGGGAGCAAACAGG